UAGGGAAUCUUCGGCAAUGGGGGCAACCCUGACCGAGCAACGCCGCGUGAGUGAAGAAGGUUUUCGGAUCGUAAAGCUCUGUUGUAAGAGAAGAACGUGUGUGAGAGUGGAAAGUUCACACAGUGACGGUAACUUACCAGAAAGGGACGGCUAACUACGUGCCAGCAGCCGCGGUAAUACGUAGGUCCCGAGCGUUGUCCGGAUUUAUUGGGCGUAAAGCGAGCGCAGGCGGUUUAAUAAGUCUGAAGUUAAAGGCAGUGGCUUAACCAUUGUUCGUUUUGGAAACUGUUAAACUUGAGUGCAGAAGGGGAGAGUGGAAUUCCAUGUGUAGCGGUGAAAUGCGUAGAUAUAUGGAGGAACACCGGUGGCGAAAGCGGCUCUCUGGUCUGUAACUGACGCUGAGGCUCGAAAGCGUGGGGAGCAAACAGG
rnacentral:rRNA from 1 species